rnacentral:lncRNA from 10 species
GCCACUGCACCCGGCCUAAUUGGUUAGAUACUUUCUAUGUGCCAUGUGCUAUGAUAGGCCCUUGGUGUAUUUGGUUGCUAAUGGUUGCAUUAGCACUGGGAAUUUCCUUCCUUCCUUCCUUCCUUCCCUCCCUCUCUCUCUCUCUCUCUCUCUUUCUUUCUCUCUCUCUCACUCUCUCUUUCUCCUUUCACAGGGUCUCACUCUGAUGCUCAGGCUGGAGUACAGUGGUGCAAUCUCUGUCACUGCAAACUCCGCCUCCUGAGUUCAAGUGAUUCUCCUGCCUCAGCCUCCCAAGCAGCUGGGACUACAGGUAUGCACCACCACACCUGGCUAAUUUUUUGUAUUUUUAGUAGAGACGGGAUUUUGCCAUGUUGGCCAGGCUGGUCUCGAAUUCCUGACCUCAAGUGAUCCUUCUGCCUUAGUGUCCCAAAGUGCUGCAUUUACAGGCAUGAGCCACCACAGGGGGCCCAGGCUUAGAGAUUUUAACUUGGCCAAGCCUAUCCUCCUAGGAAAUGGAAGGGCUAAGAUACAAGGAGUACAAAGACAAGAGAGAUUGGUUGGGACUCUGCUCUUUAUUUUUAUUUUUAUACUAUGGGGUCUUGCUCUUGUCACCCAAGCUACAGCAGUGGUACAAUCACAGCUCGUUGCAGCCUUGAACUCUUGGGCUCAAACAAGCCUCCCACCUCAGCUUCCCGAGUAGCUUGGAAUAUAGGUGUGCACCACCAUGCCUGGCUAAUUUUUUAUUUUUUGUAGAGAUGGGGGUCUUGCUAUGUUGCCCAGGCUGGUCUUGAACUCCUGGCCUCAAGCAAUUCUCCCUCCUUGGCCUCUCAAAGCACUGGGAUUAUAGGUGUGAGCCACUGCACCUGACCCAUUCUGCUCUUUAGAUAUCACUGCUUUGAGUGGUGGAGAAACCGGAGGGCAAGAACAACCACAAAGAACUGGAGCAGUCUGGAGUUGGUACUUGAGUUGAGUCCGCCUGAGAGUGUAGUGGAGAAGAUGUGGUUCUUUGAAUUUCUCUUUGGACCUGUAGUCUUCUUUUAUUUUAUUUAUUUAUUUAUUUAUUUUGGAGAUGAAGUCUCACUUUGUCACCCAGGCUGGAGUGCAGUGGCACGAUCUUGGCUCACUGCAACCUCUGCCUCCCUGGUUCAAGCAAUUCUCCUUCCUCAGCUCCCCGAGUAGCUGGGACUACAGGAGCACGCCGCCAUGCCCGGCUAGUUUUUUGUAUUUUAGUAGAGACGGGGUUUCGCCAUGUUGCCCAGGCUGGUCUUAAAUUCCUGAGCUCAGGCAAUCCACCCGCCUUGGCCUCCCAAAGGGCUGGUAUUACAGGCGUGAGCCACCGCGCCCGGCUGUGUCGUCUUCUUUUAGAAUUGUUUGUUUUUAUUUUGUUGCACAGGCUGGUCUCUAACUCCUAGCCUCAAGCCAUCCUCCCGCCUUGGCCUUCCAAAGUGCUGAGAUUACAGGUGUGAGCAGCCAUCACAACUAGCCUACAAUAAUUUACCUUAAAAACAAAACAGGCUGGGCGUGGUGGCUCAUGCCUAUAAUCUGAGCACUUUAGGGGGGCCGAAGUGGGAGGAUCGCUUAAGGCUAGGAGUUCAAGACCAGCCUAGGCAACGUAGUGAGACCUUCUCUCUACAAAACAUCAAAAACAUAGCCAGGCGUGGUGGCGCAUGUCUAUAGUCCAAGCUGCUUGGGAGGCUGAGGCAGGAGGAUCACUUGAGCCUGGGAGGUCAAGGCUACAGUGAGCCAUAAUCACACCACUGCACUCCAGCCUGGGUGACAGAGCCAGACCUUGUCUCAAAAAUAAAUAAAAAUUUAAAAGAAAACAACAACGCACAUACACACAAACACAAAAACAACAACAGAACAUUGUAUUUAUUAGCUAGGGCUGCCAUAAGAAUAUACCACAGACUGGGUGGCUUAAACAACAGAAAUGUAUUCUCUCACAGUUCUGGAGGCUAGAAGUCUAAGAACAAGGUGCCUGCAGAGUUGUUUUCUGGCGUGGCCUCUCUCCUCAACUGCCCUCUUGCUGCCUCUCUGCAUGGUCAUUCUUCUGUCCAAGUGUGCCCCUGUGCCCCGGGUGUCUCUCCAUGCAUCCUAAUCUUCUCUUCUCUUCUUCUUCUUCUUUUUUUUUUUUUUUUGGAAACAGUCUCACUCUGUCACCCAGGCUGCAGUGCAGUGGCACAGUCUCGGCCUACUGCAACCUCCACCUCUCCAGUUCAAGCGAUUUUCCUGCCUCAACCUCCCAAGUAGCUAGGAAUACAGGCACAUGCCACCCUGCCCAGUUAAUUUAUUUUUUAUUUUUUAGUAGAGAUGAGGUUUCACCAUGUUGGCCAGGCUGGUCUCAAACUCCUGGUCUCAAGUGAUCCUCCUGCCUCGGCCUCCCAAAAUGCUGGGAUUACAGGCGCAAGCCACCGCGCCCAGCCCUUAUCUUCUCUUCUUCUAAGGACACUGGUUAUGUUGGAAUAUGGUCUAUCCUAAAGGCCUGAUUUACUUAAUUAUCUUUUUCAAUGUUCUGUCUCCAAAUACAGCCACAUUUUGAAGGACCAGGAAUUUGGGCUUUAAAUUAUGAAUUUUGGGGGGACGUAAUUCAGCCCAUAGCAAAUGCCUUUGGAAUUAUUAUUAUUAUUAUUGUUAUUUUUUUCAGAUGGAGUCUCUUGCUCUGUCACCCUGGCUGGAGUACAGUGGAGUGAUCUCAGCUCACUGAAACCUCCGUCUCCCAGGUUCAAGCAAUUCUCCUGCCUCAGCCUCCUGAGUAGCUGGGAUUACAGGGGUGUGCCACCACACCUGGCUAAUUUUUGUAUUUUCAGUAGAGAUGGGUUUUCACCAUGUUGGCCAGGAUGGUCUCGAUCUCUUGACCUCGUGAUCCACCGACCUUGGCCUUCCAAAGUGCUGGGAUUACAGGUGUGAGCCACCGUGCCUGGCAAGCUUAUUUGCAAAGCAUCAUCUAAAACCCUAGAAAGGAGGUGACAUUAUUAUUCCCAUUUUAAAUUUUAUUGUAUGUAUGUAUUUAUUUACUUACUUAUUUACUUACUUUAUUUUUACUUUCCAGACAGGGUCUCUCUUUGUUGCCUAGGCUGGAGUGCAGUGGAACGAACUUGGCUUAUUGAAGCAUUGACCACCUGGACCCAAGUGAUUCUCCUACCUUAGCCUCUUGAAUAGCUGUGACAACAGGUGUGCACUACCACACCCAGAUAAAUUUUGUAAUUUUUAUAGAGAGGGCAUUUGACCAUGUUGCCCAGGCUGGUCUCAAACUCCUGAGCUCAAGUGAUACUCCUGCCUCGGCCUCCCAAAGUGCUGGGAUUACAGAUGAAGAAAAUGAGGCACUGAGAGAUUACAUAACUUCCCUUGAGUCAUAUUUGCUUGUAAGUGGUAAGGCUGGAUGUUGAACCCAGGACAAAGGGAGCCCAGUGGAGGAUCCCUGGAGGAGCAAAUAGAAGAAACCCAAAAGGGACUUGAAAGCGGGUCCCCUCCCUCACCUGGAUUCCCAGUCCGAAGAGGAGGAAGCAUCCGCCCUCCUUCCCUCCUUCUGACCCACCCAGCCACCCACCCAAGGUGCCAUUAAAGUUAAUUGUUUUUACUGCCAGUUUAACAUAGUCUUGUAAAUCUUUUUACGAUGUGGCCGGGGAACACCGAGCUGCAUGCAGGACUCAAUGGAGUUGGAGCACAGGAGCGUGGCCCCAGAGCUAUCUGGAGGGUGUAAAAUGGGAGCGCCACGUCUCUCCAGGGGCACCCUCUUCCCUCCUCCUGGAGCACCAGGCCCAAGACCCUCAUCUGAGUGGCAGUUCUCCCAGGCGAGGCUAGGAUUGUGCCUGGAAUGCUAAGAUCCUCCAGGUCACCCCCACUGUUUCGAGAGGCCAUCCCUCUUGACUCUAAGUUGUGGAAUCCUCCAGAAUCCGAGGCCUCCAAGCCCUGGAGAGAGGUUCUGGAUCCUUCAGAAAGGUUGAGGGGUGAUUCCCAUAUAGAAAGCUUGGCGCUGGGUCUCUCCAUUUGCCCACCAAGGACCGGCAGGCAAAAGCACUGCAAGGUGGACGUUUAGGGGUAUGAGGGGCGCACAUUCCAUGGCGCAGGGACUCUGGAGGUGCAGGUCUUCUACGAAGGUGAUUCCGCCAUUUCCCAGCCAUUACCAGCGGAGAGAGCUGAGUCUUCCUGAACAGCGCCUUUAAGCUGGUUUGUCCCAGGUUGGUGGAGCGGGACUCAGCGGUUUCUGUCCCUUGGGUAGACCUUGGCUUCCAUCUGUCUGGGUACAGGCACGAUUUCCCUCUCCCGGUUCCUGGCAUCCCCAUUGUGAGCCAUCCAUGUCAAAAUAAGGGUCUUAACUCCCACCGUUGUCACUAGCAUUAAACAGACACUCCUAAUGUGCCCAGAAAAAUGCCAGGCGCACGCUAAACAUCUGUAAACCACGGUGACAGCUCUAAGCGUUCAUGAUUAAGCCCAAAUAUUUAUUAGGCACUGGUGUGCAAGCCUUGUGUAAGUGCUGAGGACACACAGAGAAGAACGACGUACUUUCCUCUAAAGAGGGUUUUUUGUUAUUGACAAAGGAACCUAGAGGGCAUCAACGCAACACACAGAGCAGUCCUUCCCAAAACAUACCCCGGGAACCGGUUAGAAAUGCGCAUUCUCAGGCCCAGCUGAGACCAAUUGAAUGAGGUGUCCGGGAGCGGGGCCCAGAAUUCCUGUUUUAACAAAGCCCCCACGUGAUUGUGAGCUCCUUAAGGUUCGAGAACCCUGAUGCAGUGAACGCAGGCGCAGGCUCUGGAGUGAGAAAUUGUGGGUUUUCAUCUCCUUGCAUCUAUGUUGUGGGGCUUUGACCAAGAAAUGGUAACAAACUCAGAAGGGGAGAAGGGGAAAGAGAGUGGAUGGAGUAGGGGCGGUGAGAAGGAAGACAAGGGAAUAACCAGCCCUCUUCCCAACAGGGCUUCCUCGAUCAGAGGCCGAAUUUCCGAGCAGGAUAGACCAGGGGGCUCGAACUAAUAAUUCUGAGGGGUCAGAAAGGCCUCUCAAAACGCGCCGCGAUUUGAAACCUGCAAACGCGGGGUUCAGGUCGGCUCCGUUUCUUCCAAGCAGCCUGCCUUUGGGGCACCCAACCCUUCCCAAGCCUCGGUUUUCCCGAUCUUGUGGGAUCCUUGCGGCGCGAAUGGGGUUGGAAGCACCUUGGAAGCUACAGAGUACCGGGUCGGGACAAUUUCCGGCACUGCCCCAGUUCAGUGGUUUAUAGAAAAUUUCUUUCUCUCUCUCAGGUCCACUAAGACCGAGAGAGAGAGAGAAGUCGACUCUGGCACACCCGGGCGAGGGGCUGCCGGGAUUCGGGAGCUGGCGCGGUUGAUUUUUUCCGAGAAUCCUCCACUUGGGGUGACGUCGGGCAGCGCGCGCGGGCCGUGAGGUUAAUGCCCAGGCUUUUCUCUAAAGCGUCCGGGAAUGAUCCGGCGAAUAAAA